rnacentral:rRNA from 1 species
CUUCGGCCCGAGUUGUAAUUUGCAGAGGAAGUAUUUGGCGCGGUGCCUUCCGAGUUCCCUGGAACGGGACGCCAUAGAGGGUGAGAGCCCCGUCUGGUUGGACACCAAGCCUGUGUAAUACUCCUUCGACGAGUCGAGUAGUUUGGGAAUGCUGCUCUAAAUGGGAGGUAAAUCUCUUCUAAAGCUAAAUACCGGCCAGAGACCGAUAGCGCACAAGUAGAGUGAUCGAAAGAUGAAAAGCACCUUGAAAAGGGGGUUAAACAGUACGUGAAAUUGUUGAAAGGGAAGCGUUUAUGACCAGACUUGUGCCGUGUGGCUCAUCCGGGGUUCUCCCCGGUGCACUCCACACGGUUCAGGCCAACAUCGGUUCUCGUUGGGGGAUAAGAACAGUAGGAACGUAGCCCUCUUCGGAGGGUGUUAUAGCCUAUUGUACGAUACCUUGAUGGGGACCGAGGACCGCGCUUCGGCUAGGAUGUUGGCGUAAUGGUCAUUAGCGACCCGUCUUGAAACACGGACCAAGGAGUCGUCCAUUAGAGCGAGCGUUUGGGUGUAAAACCCGCACGCGUAAUGAAAGUGAAAUUAGGUGAGAGCUUCGGCGCAUCAUCGACCGAUCCUGAAGUUUACGGAUGGAUUUGAGUAAGAGUUUUAACGGACGGACCCGAAAGACAGUGAACUAUACUUGAAUAGGGUGAAGCCAGAGGAAACUCUGGUGGAGGCUCGCAGCGGUUCUGACGUGCAAAUCGAUCGUCAAAUUUGAGUAUGGGGGCGAAAGACUAAUCGAACUGUCUAGUAGCUGGUUACCGCCGAAGUUUCCCUCAGGAUAGCAGUGUUGACCUUCAGUUUUAUGAGGUAAAGCGAAUGAUUAGGGACUCGGGGGCGCUUAUUAGCCUUCAUCCAUUCUCAAACUUUAAAUAUGUAAGAAGCCCUUGUUACUUAAUUGAACGUGGGCAUUCGAAUGUACCAACACUAGUGGGCCAUUUUUGGUAAGCAGAACUGGCGAUGCGGGAUGAACCGAACGGGGGGUUAAGGCGCCAGAAUGUACGCUCAUCAGACACCACAAAAGGCGUUAGUACAUCUUGACAGCAGGACGGUGGCCAUGGAAGUCGGAAUCCGCUAAGGACUGUGUAACAACUCACCUGCCGAAUGUACU